GUCAACUUUAAAUUGUCAUUAAACUUUGGAUGCGUGGGGAGAUUAGUGUUUUACAAUUCCUGAUCAAGCUACCCCAUUGUGAGCUAUACCAACCAAUUUCUUCAUUGGUUUUCCGACGGCAGCGCACAUGGGGUUUGUACCUGCUGGAUAAACUGCCAAUGGAAAAUUUUACGCAGAAGUGCUCCGCUGCCUGAAGGAUUGCGUCCGCACAGUUCUACUAGAGAUCGAUUGGAUCUACACCCACGACCUGGCUCCCAGUGACUUUUUUUGUUUUCCAGCAUCAAGAGAGACCAGGAAGGAUGCAACUCGAUCAAGUGGUUCAAGACGCUUCGACGAGGUACCUGAACAAUGUUCCGAUUGCAGAGUUUCAGGGGGCUUAUGCCAAAAAGGCUACCAGCGUUGUAUUGAUGCCCAAGGGGCCUAUUUUGAUGGAAGUUGAUUUACUGCACAAAAAUGUGAAGAAUUUUGAGACUAACCGCGAUAUUUUUCGGACACACCUCGUGUUAUUUACAGGAAUGCAUGGCAUUAGUGAAAUUAUCAAUUCAAAGAAGAAAUAAGAAGGAGCACAUGCGCAUGCAUUACUUAGAAGAAUAGUAUAUUCUAUAACGAGUAUGGAAUAGAGUGUAUUCCGCGCGAGUGGAAAGUUCGUCACACGAGCCGAAGGCGAGUGUGACGGUUCCACGAGCGUUGAAUAGCUAUUCCUUACAAGUUAUAGACAUAAUUUUUUCUACUACUACGACGAAUUGUUGCAAAAUAUGUAAAACAAUCAGGGUUAUUAGCGGUAGACAAUUCACCCAUUAGUAGGUCCAUUGAAUUGUAGGUCUGUGAGUGGUAGGUUGGUAUAACAGAUCCCUGUGGCAUUGGCAUAUUUGAGCGAUAUUUGUCAAUGACCCGUCAAGCUAUGCACCGCACAUGCGAAAGAAAUGUGGAAGUUGCGAUUUGUCUGCUUCAUUUGUGUUUAGUAAUCGAAAUUACAAAUUACUUAUUAAUGUAUCUGUAUGAAUCGGCCUGGCGAGUGCGAUGAUAUGUACUUCAAUGAUGUAUUGAAAUGCAAAAUGGUACGAAAAAGACGUUAUGGGUGCAAAUCAGAAAUAAACCUCAUAGCAAUACUCGAACUUCGACUCGAACAAUUUGUAUGUUAGUUUUAAAACUCGCCAAGUAAUACCUACGUACUGAGGAAAUGUGUUCUCGAUAACCAACAACUGUUAACUGGAUCUGGAUGUUCUUUGUAUACUGACGUAAGGUAUCUGAACUUGGAAUUUGUUAACAAAUCAGAAAAACCAAGAACUAGGAAAUGAAAUGCAGUGUUAUACAUAUUUCUCAGGACAAGAUCAAGUUACCCUUAAUGUUAAUCUCGUCGAUGCAAAC